UCACGAAAAUAUUAGUAUCAAGUUAUAAAGUUUCUAAGUAGAAAUUAAUUAGCGUGUCUACACGUGGAGACACGCUAAUAAAUUUCUACUUAGAAACUUUAUAACUUGAUACUAAUAUUUUCGUGACACU
rnacentral:miRNA from 1 species